UUAUGGCCAUAUCACGUUGAAACACCGGUUCCCGUACGGCCACUGAAGUUAAGCAAUGUUGAGCUUAGUCAGUACCUAGUAGGGUGGCCGUUUGGAAAUACCAAGUACUGUAA